rnacentral:misc_RNA from 1 species
GAUGAAGAACGCAGCGAAAUGCGAUAAGUAAUGUGAAUUGCAGAAUUCAGUGAAUCAUCGAAUCUUUGAACGCACAUUGCGCCCUCUGGUAUUCCAGGGGGCAUGCCUGUUCGAGCGUCAUUACAACCCUCAAGCUUUGCUUGGUAUUGGACAUUGCCAGUUUCUGGCAGGUCUUAAAAUCAGUGGCGGUGCCAUUUGGCUUCAAGCGUAGUAAUUCUUCUCGCUUUGGAGAUCCAAGUGGUUACUUGCCAAUAACCCCCAAUUUUUUCAGGUUGACCUCGGAUCAGGUAGGGAUACCCGCUGAACUUAAGCAUAUCAAUAAGCGGAGGA